GACGAACGCUGGCGGCGUGCCUAAUACAUGCAAGUCGAGCGGACAGAUGGGAGCUUGCUCCCUGAAGUCAGCGGCGGACGGGUGAGUAACACGUGGGCAACCUGCCUGUAAGACUGGGAUAACUUCGGGAAACCGGAGCUAAUACCGGAUACGUUCUUUUCUCGCAUGAGAGAAGAUGGAAAGAUGGUUUCGGCUAUCACUUACAGAUGGGCCCGCGGCGCAUUAGCUAGUUGGUGAGGUAAUGGCUCACCAAGGCGACGAUGCGUAGCCGACCUGAGAGGGUGAUCGGCCACACUGGGACUGAGACACGGCCCAGACUCCUACGGGAGGCAGCAGUAGGGAAUCUUCCGCAAUGGACGAAAGUCUGACGGAGCAACGCCGCGUGAACGAUGAAGGCCUUCGGGUCGUAAAGUUCUGUUGUUAGGGAAGAACAAGUACCAGAGUAACUGCUGGUACCUUGACGGUACCUAACCAGAAAGCCACGGCUAACUACGUGCCAGCAGCCGCGGUAAUAC
rnacentral:rRNA from 1 species